UACAGAGGUCUCAAGCGUUGUUCGGAAUCACUGGGCGUAAAGGGUGCGUAGGCCGCGUGGUAAGUCGGAUGUGAAAUCCGGAGGCUCAACCUCCGAAUUGCAUACGAUACUGCCGUGCUAGAGUGCUGAAGAGGAGUCUGGAAUUCUCGGUGUAGCAGUGAAAUGCGUAGAUAUCGAGAGGAACACUAGUUGCGAAGGCGAGACUCUGGGCAGCUACUGACGCUGAGGCACGAAGGCCAGGGUAGCAAACGGG
rnacentral:rRNA from 1 species